GAUCAUGGCUCAGGAUGAACGCUAGCUACAGGCUUAACACAUGCAAGUCGAGGGGCAGCAUGAUUCUAGCUUGCUAGAAUUGAUGGCGACCGGCGCACGGGUGAGUAACGCGUAUCCAACCUUCCCUAUAGUAGAGGAUAGCCCGGCGAAAAGUCGGAUUAAUACUCUAUGUUGUUCAAUGCGGACAUCUAAGUUGAACCAAAGGUUUACCGCUAUAGGAUGGGGAUGCGUCUGAUUAGAUGGUAGGCGGGGUAACGGCCCACCUAGUCGACGAUCAGUAGGGGUUCUGAGAGGAAGGUCCCCCACAUUGGAACUGAGACACGGUCCAAACUCCUACGGGAGGCAGCAGUGGGGAAUAUUGGUCAAUGGGCGAGAGCCUGAACCAGCCAAGUAGCGUGCAGGAUGACGGCCCUAUGGGUUGUAAACUGCUUUUAUAUAGGGAUAAAGUGCACCACGUGUGGUGUUUUGUAGGUACUAUAUGAAUAAGGACCGGCUAAUUCCGUGCCAGCCGCCGC
rnacentral:rRNA from 1 species